GUGCAAUUAAAUGUUCAAAAUGUUCCUUUUCAGGUCUAUCCACGGCCCUCUCAACAGAUGACUUCAAGUUGAUUUCGUGCUUUAUUUCUUAAGAAUAGUGACUAACCUACGGGAUCUGAUUCAAUUUAUUAGGAACACAGUGCCACCUUCCAAAAUUACUUACCUAAGAGGACUGAGCCUGCUGUCCCUGGAGCAGUUAGCUAAAACAGUGCCUCAGUACGGAGCGUACCUGUGUUAACUUCUAGAGUGCUGUUUCCGGCAGCUGCUGAAAUCCACGCUGAGGUUAUCAAGCUCAUCCUACAAAAUAAAGUGUCUCUGAUGAAUGACACAUUGAUCAACCCAUAUUCUUCAGACUCUACCAUGUGAAGCCAAUGAAAGAUGCCUGCUGGUGACC
rnacentral:lncRNA from 1 species